AUUCGAAUGAAUCAUAUCUCCGUAUAAAGGUUAACAUGUAUGUAUUAUUUAUCAACAGUUCCUGUAUAAUGCUCUUAUCAUUAGCACAUUGAUAAUUACACAGACAUGGGGAGGUAUAUACAGUAGAUACACUGAUACAAAAAAAAAAAAGGGACUGUACCCAGGGGCGGAUCCAGAGUCGAAUCUUGGUAGGGGCACUCUGCCAGGUUUGGUUAACAUGAGAUAAUCGAAAAAGAUGUAGUGUUGCUUAAAGAACUGCCAGCUUACAAUUAAAGACCCUUGGUUUAAUUUAAAAAACAGACGAGAACAAUAAACCUCAUAAAAAUGCUCUUUGUAAAUUAAGAAUCACAUAAAAUUCAUACCUAGCAAGUUCAGCAUCCCACGUAUUUUAAAAGUACACUAUAGCUUUGGGAAUACAAACCUGUAUUCCUAACAACAUUGUGCCCCUGUUCCUGGAUAUAUAUUUGUACCCCCUCCCCUUUUCUACUAAAUUUUAUAAAAUAAUGUUUAUUACUUACCUUCCAGCUCUAACACUUCCUCGGGGCGUGUUAGAGCUCUCCAAUGCUUUCCUAUAAGCUUUCACAUUACGUGGAAGUUUUACUCGGUCAGUGUAGCUGAAGUGCAUUUAGUGGCUAUUGCAAAUGGUAUGCCAUCCUGGGAGUAAUUCUCAUUCCCGGGCUACUAUACGUUCUCAAAGGCAACGUAACCAAUCUGGCGAAUUUCAAUGUGAAAAAAUGAAAAUGUAACAUGCUAUAUUUGACCCUGUAACUUCCCAAAACACCAUAAAACCUGUAAUAAAAGCAAACAGUAUUAUGACAUUCACAGUAAAAAUGUCAUGCAGAACUAAAAGAACAACAUUCCAUUAUUUCUCACAUUUUUUUUAUAUUCUAAUCAUAUUAAAUUAUUUUUCAUAGCUAAAUAUUUUAGUGUUAAAUGAAAGCCC